GGGGCGCAACCCUGAUCCAGCCAUGCCGCGUGUGUGAAGAAGGUCUUCGGAUUGUAAAGCACUUUAAGUUGGGAGGAAGGGCUGCGUGUUAAUAGCACGUAGUCUUGACGUUACCAACAGAAUAAGCACCGGCUAACUCUGUGCCAGCAGCCGCGGUAAUACAGAGGGUGCAAGCGUUAAUCGGAAUUACUGGGCGUAAAGCGCGCGUAGGCGGUCAAGUAAGAUGGGUGUGAAAUCCCCGGGCUCAACCUGGGAACUGCAUCCAUAACUGCUUGACUAGAGUACAGUAGAGGGUGGUGGAAUUUCCUGUGUAGCGGUGAAAUGCGUAGAUAUAGGAAGGAACACCAGUGGCGAAGGCGACCACCUGGACUGAUACUGACGCUGAGGUGCGAAAGUUUGGGGAGCAAACAGGAUUAGAUACCCUGGUAGUCCACGCCGUAAACGAUGUCAACUAGCCGUUGGGGACCUUGAGUCUUUAGUGGCGCAGCUAACGCACUAAGUUGACCGCCUGGGGAGUACGGCCGCAAGGUUAAAACUCAAAUGAAUUGACGGGGGCCCGCACAAGCGGUGGAGCAUGU
rnacentral:rRNA from 1 species